GCCCCUGUAGCUCAAUGGAGAGAGCGUCUCGCUGACUGCGCAGAAGGUUGAGGGUUCAAGUCCCUCCAGGGGCACCA
rnacentral:tRNA from 1 species